rnacentral:misc_RNA from 1 species
GUGAGGAGUCAUUAAUGUAUUAAGAAAGUUAUAGGUCUAAACUGAGGUGAUUAAAAAAUCCAAAGGCUUGCCUCAGGGGUUUUUAAUUUAUGGAGCCCUCCCUAAAGUUCCUGAGAGGCCUCCUAGGAGGUAGGUAUAAUGUACCAAACCACCUGAAAUGAGGCUCAGGGAGGCAUACAGAGGAUCCUACAACAAGCCCAAUA